ACGGAAUUGGAAAUUUUAAUGAGCGCGUAUGCCGAGCAGUUACCAAGAGAGAGCUUGGCCUGAAAUAGCUGAACAAGUCAAUGCAAUUGCCCCAAGAGGACUUGGCGGCAAAUGAAGAUGAAGUACAAAAAUAUAGUUCAAACAGCAAAUCGAAAAAAAGAAGAGGCCCGGAAGACUGGAGGGGGUCCACCUCUGCAGCCCUCACAGAGGCUGAGGAGAUGGCCCUCAGACAACAGAGUAUGCGUCAUGUGGCUGAGGGCAUCCCUGGGGGGAGCUCCUCUGAUCCCCCCCCACCCCCCAGGAUAGAAGUGCCUUUAUAAGAGUUACUGAUGGCGUCAUCGCCCUACUUGAACCAGAUGCCCUCACCAACCUCCAUGCAAUUGUAACAAUUCAAAAGAUGCAAAAGGAUGCUUUGGAGAUCCACAUUUUGGAACAUAAGUUAAAGACCUCCUCUGGGUGAAAGCUGUGGGACAGGAGUGCAGAUCUUGGCUCA
ensembl:lncRNA